UGGGGAAUUUUGGACAAUGGGCGCAAGCCUGAUCCAGCCAUGCCGCGUGCAGGAUGAAGGCCUUCGGGUUGUAAAGCUCUUUUGUGCGGGAAGAUAAUGACUGUACCGCAAGAAUAAGCCCCGGCUAACUUCGUGCCAGCAGCCGCGGUAAUACGAAGGGGGCUAGCGUUGCUCGGAAUCACUGGGCGUAAAGGGUGCGUAGGCGGGUCUUUAAGUCAGGGGUGAAAUCCUGGAGCUCAACUCCAGAACUGCCUUUGAUACUGAGGAUCUUGAGUUCGGGAGAGGUGAGUGGAACUGCGAGUGUAGAGGUGAAAUUCGUAGAUAUUCGCAAGAACACCAGUGGCGAAGGCGGCUCACUGGCCCGAUACUGACGCUGAGGCACGAAAGCGUGGGGAGCAAACA
rnacentral:rRNA from 1 species